rnacentral:pre_miRNA from 1 species
AAUAUGUGACACCGUUGACUUUUUCUCACAUGUUUAACCAUCGUCUUAUUCAAAAAAUUUAUGUAAUUAUAAUUUAUUUUGUUACGUGUUGUUUUAUCAUUCAUAGUACUUUAAGUGUGAUUUAUAUUUUAUACAUUUGCAUAAAAUUUUUGAAUAAAACGAAUGGUCAAACAUGUGAGAAAAAGUCAACGGCGUCAUCUAUU